rnacentral:rRNA from 1 species
UACGUAGGGUCCGAGCGUUGUCCGGAAUUAUUGGGCGUAAAGGGCUCGUAGGCGGUCUGUUGCGUCGGGAGUGAAAAUUCACAGCUUAACUGUGAACUUGCUUCCGAUACGGGCAGACUUGAGGUAUUCAGGGGAGAACGGAAUUCCUGGUGUAGCGGUGAAAUGCGCAGAUAUCAGGAGGAACACCGGCGGUGUAGACGGCUUGCUAGACCACCCCUGACGCUGAGGCACGAAAGCGUGGGUAGCAAACAGG